AAGAGGCUGUAUAGCCAAAGUGACGUACUUUCCAAAAGGGUGACUCUUUUGGAAAGUACGUCACUUUGGCUAUACAGCCUCUUCU